rnacentral:rRNA from 1 species
CCUACGGGAGGCAGCAGUGGGGAAUAUUGGACAAUGGGCGAAAGCCUGAUCCAGCAAUACCGCGUGAAUGAUGAAGGCCUUAGGGUUGUAAAGUUCUUUUAGUUGGAAAGAUAAUGACGGUACCAACAGAAAAAGCCCCGGCUAACUCCGUGCCAGCAGCCGCGGUAAGACGGAGGGGGCUAGCGUUGUUCGGAAUUACUGGGCGUAAAGGGCGCGUAGGCGGAUUAGUAAGUUGGGAGUGAAAGCCCGGGGCUUAACCUCGGAACUGCUUUCAAAACUG